CUUCUCUUUGAAAAAAAGCCACUCCUUUCUUGACUGCCCUACCCCUUGCUAAUUUUUCCACCACCACUGACUUUGCAUUUUCAGCUGACUGGCUGAGGCUUUGUUUUCAUGCUCUGGAAGUGCUCAGUGUAAGAUAUGUUUGAAGAAUCCUGUUGUCCCAGUCAGACCAAGUACUGGGGUUGGAUGGACCAUUGGACUGGCUCAGAAAUGACAUUUCUUAUGUUCUCAUGGACAUUUUUAAUGACAGAAUUUUGUUGAUGCUCAACUUUUUUUCCUUCAACCAUCUGCUGCUCCACAACAUCGGGAAUGAGUGGGAGGUAAGGAAGACAAGGAUCUGGAGAUUUCAAGGUGGCUGAGAAAAAAAAAAAAAGUUCUGAGAGCACUGGCAGCUAAUACACCAAUUUCUUGAUUUUAAAA